GAAAUGCGAUAAGUAAUGCGAAUUGCAGAAUUCAGUGAGUCAUCGAAUCUUUGAACGCAUAUUGCGCCCUUUGGCAUUCCGAAGGGCAUGUCUGUUCGAGCGUCAUUAUCAACCAUCAAGCCUGGCUUGUCGUUGGACCUCUUUUUUGCGGCUGAAAUAUGCUGCAGGUCCGAAAGAUAAUGACGGUGUCGUGUUUGACCCUAGAUGCAACGAGCUUUUUAUAGCACGCAUUGAAGUGGUCGGCCGAUCCGGUCUUAAUCAUUAAUUUUCUUAAGGUUGACCUCGAAUCAGAUAGGAAUACCCGCUGAACUUAA
rnacentral:misc_RNA from 1 species